UACAGAGGGUGCUAGCGUUGUUCGGAAUCACUGGGCUUAAAGGGCGCGUAGGCGGGUUUUCAAGUCUGUGGUGAAAGCCUCCAGCUUAACUGGAGAAGUGCCGUGGAUACUGGAGACCUCGAGGAGGGUAGGGGCAUCUGGAACAGCCGGUGGAGCGGUGAAAUGCGUUGAUAUCGGCUGGAACUCCGAUGGCGAAGGCAAGGUGCUGGACCCUCUCUGACGCUGAGGCGCGAAAGCCAGGGGAGCGAACGGG
rnacentral:rRNA from 1 species